AGUGAACGCUGGCGGUGGGCCUAACACAUGCAAGUCGAACGGCAGCACAGUAAGAGCUUGCUCUUACGGGUGGCGAGUGGCGGACGGGUGAGGAAUACAUCGGAAUCUACUUUUUCGUGGGGGAUAACGUAGGGAAACUUACGCUAAUACCGCAUACGACCUACGGGUGAAAGCAGGGGAUCUUCGGACCUUGCGCGAUUGAAUGAGCCGAUGUCGGAUUAGCUAGUUGGCGGGGUAAAGGCCCACCAAGGCGACGAUCCGUAGCUGGUCUGAGAGGAUGAUCAGCCACACUGGAACUGAGACACGGUCCAGACUCCUACGGGAGACAGCAGUGGGGAAUAUUGGACAAUGGGCGCAAGCCUGAUCCAGCCAUACCGCGUGGGUGAAGAAGGCCUUCGGGUUGUAAAGCCCUUUUGUUGGGAGGGAAAAGCAGCAGGUUAAUACCCCGCUGUUCUGACGGUACCCAAAGAAUAAGCACCGGCUAACUUCGUG
rnacentral:rRNA from 1 species